rnacentral:rRNA from 1 species
UACGAAGGGGGCUAGCGUUGCUCGGAAUCACUGGGCGUAAAGCGCACGUAGGCGGAUUGUUAAGUCAGGGGUGAAAUCCUGGAGCUCAACUCCAGAACUGCCUUUGAUACUGGCGAUCUCGAGUCCGGGAGAGGUGAGUGGAACUGCGAGUGUAGAGGUGAAAUUCGUAGAUAUUCGCAAGAACACCAGUGGCGAAGGCGGCUCACUGGACGACUGUUGACGCUGAGGUGCGAAAGCGUGGGGAGCAAACAGG